CCUACGGGUGGCAGCAGUGGGGAAUAUUGGACAAUGGGGGGAACCCUGAUCCAGCGACGCCGCGUGAGUGAAGAAGUAUUUCGGUAUGUAAAGCUCUAUCAGCAGGGAAGAAAAUGACGGUACCUGACUAAGAAGCCCCGGCUAACUACGUGCCAGCAGCCGCGGUAAUACGUAGGGGGCAAGCGUUAUCCGGAUUUACUGGGUGUAAAGGGAGCGUAGACGGUGCAGCAAGUCUGAUGGGAAAGGGCGGGGCCCAACCGGGGGACUGCAUUGGAAACUGUUGAACUGGAGUGCAGGAGAGGUAAGCGGAAUUCCUAGUGUAGCGGUGAAAUGCGUAGAUAUUAGGAGGAACACCAGUGGCGAAGGCGGCUUACUGGACUGUAACUGACGUUGAGGCUCGAAAGCGUGGGGAGCAAACAGGAUUAGAUACCCGAGUAGUC
rnacentral:rRNA from 1 species